UAUGUUCUACAUAAAAUAGUGUAUCAGGAAUAUUGCAAGAUCCCAUUAGAACUCCAUAGUUAAGCGCACUCAGGCUAGAGUAGUACUAGGAUUGGUGAUCUCCCAAGAAGUCCUAGCGUUUUACAUGC
rfam:Picea glauca, whole genome shotgun sequence.